CGACCCUAGGUUAGGUGGGGCUACUUGCUGAGUUUAAGUAUAUCAAUAAGCGGAGGACAAAAAACUUACGAGGAUUCCUUUAGUAACAGUGAGCAACCCGGGAAGAGCCCAGCUUGAGAAUCAUGCGACUUUGUCAUUCGAAUUGUAGUCUAUAGAAGCAUCCUCAACGGCAGAACGGGCCUAAGUCCCCUAGAAGGAGGCACCAGAGAGGGUGAGAGCCCCAUCGUGUCCUGACCCUGUUGCACCACGAGGCGCUGUCGGCGAGUCGGGUAGUUUGGGAAUGCAGCCCCAAUUGGGCGGUAAAUUUCGUCCAAGGCUAAAUAUGGGCGAGAGACCGAUAGCGAACAAGUACCGCGAGGGAAAGAUGAAAAGGACUUUGAAAAGAGAGUCAAAGAGUCCUUGAAAUUGUCAGGAGGGAAGUGGAUGGGGGUCGACGAUGCAUCUCGAUCGGAUGCGAAAUGGUUAAUAGUCGGUCCGCCGCUCGGCUCAAGGAGUGGAUCGAUGUGGAUUGCGGUGGCGUCCCAAUCCUGGUUUGUCACGUUUUUCCUCAGGAGAUGUCAUCACCUCGAUCGUGGUAGGCAGUGUGUGCCUCGAUGGCAUGCCUAUUGGCAACUGCAUGCUCCGGGCAUCGGCCUGCCAGGCUCCCCAUUCGACCCGUCUUGAAACACGGACCAAGGAGUCUGACAUGUGUGCGAGUCAACGGGCAAGUGGGUUACACCAUCGACUGACCUUGAUCUUCUGUGAAGGGUUUGAGUGAGAGCAUUCCUGUCGGGACCUGAAAGAUGGUGAACUAUACCUGAGCAGGGUGAAGCCAGAGGAAACUCUGGUGGAGGCCUGCAUCGAUACUAACAUGCAAAUCGUUCGUCUGAGUUGGGUAUAGGGGUGAAAGACUAAUCGAACCGUCUGGUAGCUGGUUCCCUCUGAAGUUUCCCUCAGGAUAGCUGGAGCCCGUGGGCAAGAUCUAUCGAUAAAGCCAAUGAUUAGAGGCAUCGGGGGCGUAACACCCUCGACCUAUUCUUAAACUUCAAAUAGGUAGGACGGCAUGGCUGCUUCGUUGAGCCAUGCCAUGGAAUCGAGAGCUCCAAGUGGGCCAUUUUUGGUAAGCAGAACUGGCGAUGCAGGAUGAACUAGAAGCCGGGUUACGGUGUCAGAUUCCACGCUAACCUAGAACCCACAAAGGGUGUUGGUCGAUUAAGACAACAGGACGGUGGUCAUGGAAGUCGAAAUCCGCUAAGGAGUGUGUAACAACUCACCUUUCGAAUCAACUAGCCCCAAAAAUGGAUGGCGCUGAAGCACGUAAUCUGUACCCGGCCGUUAGGGCAACUACCAGGCCCCGAUGAGUAGGAGGGCACAGCGAUCGCUGUAAAACCUAGGGCGUGAGCCCGGGCGGAGCGACCGUUGGUGUAAAUCUUGGUGGUAGUAGUAAAUAUUCAAAUGAGAACUUUGAAGGUCGAAGAGGGGAAAGGUUCCCUGUGAACGACACUUGCACAUGGGUUAGUCGAUCUUAAGGGACGGGGGAGUCGAUCUGAGAGUGUGUACUCACACGUGCUCUAAAAGGGAAUCGGGUUAAAAUUCCUGAACCAGGACGUGGCGGUUGAUGGAAACGUUAGGAAGUCUAGAGACAUUGGUGGGGGUCUAGAGAAGAGUUAUCUUUUUUGUUUAACAGCCUGCCCACCCUGGAAAUGGCUCAGUCGGAGGUAGGGUCCUACAGCUUGAAGAGCACCGCGUGUUGCAUGGUGUCCGAUGCACCCCAGACGACCUUUGAAAAUCUUAAGGACCGUGUGUCAACCAAGCCCGAUCAUACUCAUAACCGCAUCAGGUCUCCAAGGUGAACAACUUCUGGUCAAUGGAACAAUGUAGGUAAGGGAAGUCGGCAAAAUGGAUCCAUACCCUCGGGAAAAAGAUUGGCUCUGAGGGCUGGGCACGGGGGUCCCAGUCCCGAACCCGUCAGCUGUCAGUGGACUGCUCAAGCUGCUUUCAUGGUGAGAGCUGGUCACCGCAUGCCAAUCGGUGGAUGGACUGGGAACGGCCCCCUUGGGGGCUUCCCCGGGCAAUGAACAGUUGACUUAGAACUAGUACGGAUAAGGGGAAUCCGACUGUUUAAUUAAAACAAAGCAUUACGAUGGUCCCUGCGGAUGCUCAUGCAAUGUGAUUUCUACCUAAUGCUCUGAAUGUCAAAGUGAAGAAAUUCAACCAAGCACGGGUAAAUGGCGGGAGUAACUAUGACUCUCUUAAGGUAGCCAAAUGCCUCGUCAUCUAAUUAGAGACGCGCAUAAAUGGAUUAACGAGAUUCCCACUAUCCCUAUCUACUUUCUAGUGAAACCACAGCCAAGGGAACGGGCUUAGCAGAAUCAAUGGGGAAAGAAGACCCUGUUAAGCUGACUCUAGUCCAACUUUGUGAAAUAACUUGAGAGGUGUAGGAUAAGUGGGAGCUGGAAAUGGCACAAGUGAAAUACCACUACUUUUAAAGUUAUUUUACUUACUCCAUGAGUCGGCGCAGGUGGGGAGUUUGGCUGGGGCGGCACAUCUAUUAAAAGAUAACGCAAGUGUCCUAAGAUGAGCUCAACAAGAACAGAAAUCUUGUGUGGAACAAAAGGGUAAAAGCUCGUUUGAUUCUGAAUUCCAGUAAGAAUACGAACCGUGAAAGCAAGGCCUAUCGAUCCUUUAGACCUUCAAAAUUUGAAGCUAGAGGUGUCAGAAAAGUUACCACAGGGAUAAAUGGCUUGUGGCAGCCAAGCGUUCAUAGCGACAUUGCUUUUUGAUCCUUCGAUGUCGGCUCUUCUUAUCAUUGUAAAGCAGAAUUCGCCAAGUGUUAGAUUGUUCACCCACCAAUAGGGAACAUGAACUGGGUUUAGACCAUCAUGAGACAGGUUAGUUUUACCCUACUGAUGACAGUGUCGCGAUAGUAAUUCAACCUAGUAUGAGAGGAACCGUUGAUUCACAUAAUUAGGCAUCGCGCUUGGUUGAAAAUCCAGUGGUACGAAGCUGUCGUGUACCAGAUUAUGACUGAACGCCUCUAAGUCAGAAUCUAGGCUAAAGAAGUGACGCCUGUGCCCGUCGCCCUUUUGUUGACCGGUAGUAGGGGCUCUCCGACCCCCAAAGGCACAUGUCGUUGGCCAAGCCGCCACAGUGGACGUGUUGUGUGGGCUGCCUUGAAGCGUAAUUCCUGUCGAGCGAUGGGUAGAAUCCUUUGCAGAUGACUUAAAUACGCGACGGGGUAUUGUAAGUGGCAGAGUGGCCUUGCCGCCACGAUCCACUGAGAUUCAUCCCCGUGUCGCAUCGAUUUGU